rnacentral:rRNA from 1 species
CCUACGGGAGGCAGCAGUGAGGAAUAUUGGUCAAUGGUCGGGAGACUGAACCAGCCAAGCCGCGUGAGGGAUGAAGGUACAGAGUAUCGUAAACCUCUUUUGUCAGGGAACAAAGGCGGGGACGCGUCCCCGGAUGAGUGUACCUGAAGAAAAAGCAUCGGCUAACUCCGUGCCAGCAGCCGCGGUAAUACGGAGGAUGCGAGCGUUAUCCGGAUGUAUUGGGUUUAAAGGGUGCGCAGGCGGUCUGUUAAGUCAGCGGUCAAAGCCCGGGGCUCAACCCCGGCCCGCCGUUGAAACUGGCAGUCUCGAGUUGGAGAGAAGUAUGCGGAAGGCGCGGUGUAGCGGUGAGAUGCAUAGAUGUCGCGCAGAACUCCGAGUGCGAAGGCAGCAUGCCGGCUCCACACUGACGCUGAGGCACGAAAGCGUGGGUAUCGAACAGGAUUAGAUACCCGAGUAGUC